ACGUACGGCCAUAGAUAAUGGAAAGUACGGGAUCCCGUCCGCUCUCCCCUAGUCAAACCAUUAAUCGGCGGAUUAGUAGUUGGGUCGGUGACGACCAGCGAAUCCCCGCUGCUGUACGUU
rfam:Sporothrix insectorum RCEF 264 scaffold_3, whole genome shotgun sequence.